CUAUGGCUUAUUUUGAGUCAUGGCGGAAGGAG
rnacentral:ncRNA from 1 species